rnacentral:lncRNA from 1 species
AAGCAGUAAAAACCACAAACUAAUAAACUGUAGCUUUUUAAUCAAUAACAGCUUGAACCAAUACGAUCAAAUCCUAAUAAAGAGAGUUUUUCAUUUAACUUAGGACUAUGGAAUUUAAACCUUGAUUAAACUCUUCUCUAAUAUAAGACAGUAGCAAAACAUCCCACAAGAUUAACAUGCAACUAAUUUGAGUCUAAGAACUACAUCAGACUCUCAGCAGAAUCAAACAAGAAAAACAACCAGCAGUAAUUCAACUUAUACCAUAUCCACAACAUGAGAAAGCUAAUAUAACAUGCAUAAGAUUAACCUAUUACAAAAUACUAAAGAAAUGGAAGAAACAAGGACAAUAAAACUUAAUAACAACUUGUAUUCAAUCAUAUUUCACAUUCGGAUUGCAUGAAUACACUUCACAUGUUGUCCAUGGUUUGAAAGAUACCUGAAAUUCAAAGAGAAAAAUAGAGAGAAUGAAGAAUUAGCAGCAGCAGCAGAGUCAGCUCAACAAUUCAGCAAAAAACAACUUCUUUCAACAGUCCAAAACCCAGAUGAGAACAAGUUUUUGGAGAUUUUAGAAAGCCUGACUAUCAGGGAACUUAAAGAACAAAACCAAAUCAAUUUUUUCAAAACAAUUUUCAGUCUUUUGGAGUAUAAAGAAGCUCAACCGUUUUUCUAAAUUUUCCAGUGUGGUAUCCUCUGAAUUUUGAC